rnacentral:rRNA from 1 species
GGCUAAUACUCAAAAGGAGUGACGGGGGCCCGCACAAGGGACGGAUCAUUUGGCUUAAUUGGACGCAACGCGAAGAACCUUACCAAGGCUUGACAUGCACCGGAAAACCCUGGAGACAGGGUCCCCCUUGUGGUCGGUGUACAGGUGGUGCAUGGCUGUCGUCAGCUCGUGUCGUGAGAUGUUGGGUUAAGUCCCGCAACGAGCGCAACCCUUGUCCCGUGUUGCCAGCAGGCCCUUGUGGUGCUGGGGACUCACGGGAGACCGCCGGGGUCAACUCGGAGGAAGGUGGGGACGACGUCAAGUCAUCAUGCCCCUUAUGUCUUGGGCUGCACACGUGCUACAAUGGCCGGUACAAUGAGCUGCGAUACCGCGAGGUGGAGCGAAUCUCAAAAAGCCGGUCUCAGUUCGGAUUGGGGUCUGCAACUCGACCCCAUGAAGUCGGAGUCGCUAGUAAUCGCAGAUCAGCAUUGCUGCGGGAAUACGUUCCCGGCCCUUGUACACACCGCCCGUCACGUCAGGAAAGUCGGUAACACCCGAAGU